rnacentral:snoRNA from 1 species
CUGACCCUUUCGCAGGAGAAUCAUUUCUAUAGUAUUCGACCUCCUCUUGGUUCCCUAAAAGAGCCACAGAUCCCACCCUGGUUGAUGAGUGCAUAUCCUCGACACCCUAGAGUGAAUACCUCGGUCCUCUCGCUCUAUCCGCAAGGAUAGCGGUACUACUUCAUUGUGGCUACUGUAUAGAGAGACGUUUACCUCUUGAUGAUCUCGAUCCCGUUUGCGGUCUGCUUUCGGGCGCGCGCUCGGGAUGGGUGUUGAUGGACGUCUGACAGGC